GACGAACGCUGGCGGCGUGCUUAACACAUGCAAGUCGAACGGAAAGGCCCUGAUUUUGUGGGGUGAUCGAGUGGCGAACGGGUGAGUAACACGUGAGUAACCUGCCCUUGACUUUGGGAUAACUUCAGGAAACUGGGGCUAAUACCGGAUAGGAGCUCCUGCUGCAUGGUGGGGGUUGGAAAGUUUCGGCGGGUGGGGAUGGAUGGGCGGGUUAUCAGCUUGUUGGUGGGGUAGUGGAUUACCAAGGCUUUGACGGGUAGCCGGCCUGAGAGGGUGACCGGGCACAAUGGGACUGAGAGACGGCCCAGACUCCAACGGGGGGCAGCAGGGGGAAAUAUUGCACAGUGGGCGGAAGCCUGAUGCAGCAGCGCCGCGUGCGGGAUGACGGCCUUCGGGUAGUAAACCGCUUUCGCCUGUGACGAAGCGUGAGUGACGGUAAUCAGUAAAGAAGCACCGGCUAACUACGUG
rnacentral:rRNA from 1 species